UUUGCCAUUGAGAGGACACACAACUUAUCUCCUAGGCUCAGGACAAUUCUACUCCACAGUUGUUAUCCUUGUGAUCGUCCUAUAUUACUGGCAUCUCCGAAAUCCUGGGAUCUCCGCUGCAGUUGGGCUACACCUUCACCCAGCGGUCUUUCCUGGGUUUUCUUCAGGGACUGCCCCUGCCACAUGGUAUCAAACCACAACUUUUCUAUAUGAUCAUUCUCGAUGCUGGACCUUCUGCUGCAACUGAGGCUGCACCUUCACCAAUGACAUCUCCUUCCAGUGCCAAACUUCAGCUAUAGUCAAAACCAGACCGUGUGAAAGAAUCUUACAUAUCACCCAUAUUUGGGUGUCACUAUGAGGAGAGACGAGGUGUUCUAUUGAUUCAGAUUUCUAAUGAGAGAAAAAAAAAAA
rnacentral:lncRNA from 1 species